GAGGGAAGGAAGGAGGGAAGGAAGGAAGGAAGGAAGGAAGGAAGGAAGGAAGGAAGGAAGGGAAAAAGAGAAAAAGAAAAAGAAAAAAAGAGAGGAAGAGAGGAAGAGGAAAAGAAAAACACAUUAAUUUAUAGUUCAAGCCACUUUGAAACAGGGUAUGUCUCUACCUUUUUACUUCAUUAUGAGGGAUGAAGAUUAACUAAUCAUUUCUGCAGAAGCCACUGGUUGCCUAGGGUUCCAUAAUCAUGGCCUGGUUAUAUUCAGUACACACAACAAAGAGACAGUUACAGCUAACAUGUAGCUAAUUGAGCAAGGAUGAGAGAGUAGGAAAAAAAAAUGAUUCAAAGGGCAAAAAUGUGAUAUGUUUUACAAAAUAAACCACUAAAUAAUUUUUUCUAUAAGAAAAAGAUAAAAUGCCAUCUGCAGUCAAGAUAAUAAAACAUUGUUAAAAUCUCUUUGUCUAGGUAAAGGCAAGUAUUAAACAGUGAAAAGGAAUACGUAACAAACAAGGAAAAGAGAGCAACUGAUAACAGUUAACACAGAACAGAAAUUAUAGAGUGUAGAAAAUCACUUGGAAAAAUCAAAACCAUUACAGAAAAAUCCAUGUCUGGAAUGGAUGGAACACACAAUUUUACAGGAUAGGAGCAAGACUCCAGAGCAAAGCUGUUCCUGACCCUAGGCAUCCCUACACCAGCAAGACCUUGUGCCCUGUGUCAGAUCUUCUGGGAGAGCCGGACUGCAUGGACUCAGGGCUGCAGCCUUUAAGAGGAAGAAGAUGGAUGACAGACUUCUCCCUGCUACCCCACCAGAGGCCAUGCAAGUGGAAAGAACCUUCCCCUAGCCCCAGGCUGACAGAGCUAUCAGAGGGAAUCUUUGCAAAUUCAGCACAUACCAAACAAUGGGGAUUUUCCUCUGUGUGAUGAGACAUACUCCUGAUCACAGCCCUGGCAAGUCAGUUCCAUUCUGCUGCUUUCAUUCUGGCCAGCUGGUAUCAGCCUCCUGCAUCUCCAAGUCUUAUGAGUUUGACCCUUUUCCUGUGGAAUUAGGUAUGACAAAAAUACCUGUCAUUGUGAAGGACAACAGAAUAUAACUUGUUUUUGCGAGAAAUACCAGGGUCACUCUAAGCUCAGAAAUACUGUGGCAGCUCCAGUAAAACCAGCAAAGUAAAUAUAGACACAAGAUAAACUAUCUGGUCUUCCCUUUGCCUGUGACCUCUAUUACUUUCCCUGUUUCUCUGACUAUAACCUCAGUAAGUGUAUUUUUGAUCCUUCAGUUAAUAUGAUUAUCAGGCUUCACACUGCCACUGCUCUCAAAUUUUCCAGAUGGCAUUUCAUCUGGAAAGUUACAACCCUGUUCUGCUUGUUAUUUAUUUAACAACUGUGCUUUUGACUAAUACAGAAUACUCUCAGUAACAGAUCUAUAUUAAUCAAAGUUCAGAUAUUCAGUGUUAGCAAUUUAUUUUGAUUUUGUCACCAUUUACACAAAGUUAUUUACCUACGCCUCUAGCAUUUUUCAAAGGACUCUGUUGCUUUAAUACACACUUACUAAAAUACAAACUGUACUUAAAGCCAUUCUCUGGAGGAGUCCCCGUCCUGAAUGAAGUUCUGUGGCACAACUGAACUACAUGAAAUGACAGUGGCAGUCUCCUAAGGGUGAAUUUACCUCUGUGUUAAUGAAUGAAUGGAAUAGACAUACGGAGUCUCAGUGAGAUAGUCCUUAUGCUCCCUCAGGGAAGUUGAGGUGCUACGUUGAUAAUUGAACACUGGUAAAAGACAGAGUUAGAUUAUUUUUCUUAAACCCACGAUUUUGCAGUAGGGAUUCAGUCCAUCUUCCAGUGGAAUGUCUGAAAAAGUUUCAUAGACACCAGAACUGAUAUUGCCUGUCACUAUACAAACCGAAAACCGCUUCGUCACUCUAUAAAUGGAAGCUCCAGCCACACUAUAGCAAGCACCAAUGCAAGUGAAUUUAUGCACAAAUGUAACUACCAGAUUUAAGCUAAAUUUUGAGAGACCAGAUCAAGAAGGGUGCAAGCUCCAAAGGCAACAACUUGAAACUCUAACUUAGCUCUAACCCCUUUCUUCACCUUCUUUUCUCUGCGUAGUGUCAUUUUUAACAAAAUGUGCCAAAUUACAAGUCAUAAAAGCUCAAGUAUGUAAGCUGCAAAUCUGGUGCUUUCCACAAGGCCAGAAGUGUCAUGAAAGAAAAACGCCAUCCAUAAUAUGGGACUGUUUGGAAUCAGAUUAGAGAGACCUAGAAUUCGUCAGCAACUUCUGCCCAUAAGGUCAAAUUAUGAAGUCUGUACUUACUACAUAUAAACACACUCCAUUUCCAGAUUCUGCCCCCCACAGACACAGCAUAAUCUAUGACGUCCAUCAGUCAUCAGCUAGUUUAUAUCAGACUCCUACUAUACCUACAUAAAUAUGUUGAAUAUUUGGAAUAAUACAUUCACAAAGCAAUGAUCAUAUUUAUUUAUAUUUUACAAAGAGAAAAAAAAAUGUGAGAGAGUAAAGAUAGGCUGCCUUCAUAGCCAUUACAGGGAAAGUGUGGAGAAAUCACCAGAAACCCCCACCAGGGGAGAGAUAUGGAGCUUUUGGAAAGAGUCCAGAAGAAGGCCAUGAAGAUGAUCCAAGGGCUCCGGCAUGAAGAUCUAUGAAGAUAGGCUGAAGAGACUGAGCUUGUUCAGCCUGGAAAAGAGGAGGCUAUGGGAAAACCUCAUUGCAGCCUUCCCAUAUUUAAAGGGAGAUUGAAACAGGAGGAAAAACUACUUUUUACACAAGUAGUUUGUUAUAGAAUGAAGGGGAAUGGUUUUAAACUAAAGGAAGAGAGGCUUACAGUGGAUGUCAGGGAGAAGUUUUUACUGGGAGAGUGGUGAGGUGCUGGGACAGGCUUCCCAGAGAGGUUGUGGAUGCCCCAUUGCUGGAGGUAUUUAAGGCCAGGUUGGAUGGGGCCCUGGGCAAUCUGAUCUCAUGCUUAAUUUAGCAGCUGGCAACCCUGCCUGUAGCAGUGGGGUUGGAACUUGAUGAUCCUUGAGGUCCCUUCCAACCUAGGCCAUUCUAUGAUUCUAAACAUGAAGAGAGCUAAAUAUUCUCUAGAUAAAAGAAAGGCAGAGAAGGAAUGACUAUCUGAAGGGCAGUCCCAUGUGCAGAAGCUGGGAAUGGAUACCCACAGGGCCCAGACAUGGGGUCACCAACCUCAAGGUUGCUGCCAUGUCAGGACCUGCGUGGGCAGCUGGCCAAUGCGAUACAGGAGGUUCCUCCACUUCCUUUCUUUGGUCACCAACCUGCCAUGAGGUUUGAAUGGCUUCUGUCUAUCUCUAAUGGGGACCUGGAGGAAAGACAUUCAUCCUAUCACAAGCCUCCUGAGCCAUCUCAACUCCAACACAGCAGUUUUUUAAAAAUUCUUAAGCUUACUUCACACAGAUAUAAAUAAUUAUACAGACAAUACAAGUCAAAGAAGAGUCAGGCACUAAAUACUGAUAGAAAGCCUUAUUCCUCCUUUCUUCAGUGAAAACUCUAGAUCUCUGUUCUGCAUUAUUCAUUCAGUAAUCCACCUCUGUGAUACACAUGUAAGAGCUGUUUCAACAAUUUAUGAGCUUUAGUGAUGGCUGAAUAAUCACAUUUUAUAGUCUGAUACAGAUAUCAGAAACACCUGAUACAGAUACAAAAAAGAUUGUGGUAGGUUAUUUCAUGAAAGGCUAAUGCAUCAAAAAGUCCAAGUUGGAAGGCAUUGGAAGGACUUAAGGGAAAUUCUUUCUGCUCUUACAUUAUCUAUCAUUACAUCAGUAACACAGUCCUUGAGGUUUGCAAUUGCCCAGCUCCAGACACUUUAAUAAAGAAAUACAUAAAAUCAAUGCAACUCAUUUUCUCCCAUCUUCAUUUAAAAAUAAAAAAUUGAAAUCUCUGUUCCAGAAACAAAUAAAUAAAUAAAUCUGCUAAUGCAGAAUAUGAAUUACAGAGCAACUUUUAAAAAACUGUACAUGAAAAGUCAAGGUCAUUUUGUAUAAUCACACAAAUGAACAAAUAGCUGUGGUAAACUGAAAUUCCUGGAAAUCAUGUAAAUAACCGGCCAUAAUCAGAGGCUGCAGAGCAAUUAUUAAUCUACUGAUGCUGACCUACCAGACACCCUAAGUUCACCAGACUAUUUUUAACCUAUUUUAGUUACAGAAUGUAUCUAGAACUAUCCUUUGCUUCUUACAUUUCUUUCUGUAAAUUGCAUAGGCAAUAUCCAUUGUAUAUCCUGUAGUACAAAUCAAAUUAUUAUCCUAACAAGCUCUUCUGGGAAAUAUAAAAAUUCUGAAGCUAAAAAUCUGUAUGAAAGUAGAUACUUCCAUUGCUUUAUCAUUAAUCAAAAGAUAUACUAAUGUUCUAAUGGCACAACUAUUUAAACAUUCAAAAGUACAAAAAUGUACUUGCUUAAAAUAUCUGAUAAGAAAACAUCCUUAAAAGUGAUCACAGCUAAAAUUGCUUUUCUAGAUACAAAUGGAACACACUUUACAUCAGACUAAACACUCAGAAGACAGGUAGUGAAUUGGAGACUACGUAGAUGCUUAGCCAGGCCUGUGUCAAUCUCCAUCCAU
rnacentral:lncRNA from 1 species